ACAAACUAAAACAGCAGGUUAAAUUUUAACCCAGGGUUAGCGCUAACCCACCUUUGAACAGCCGGCCCCAGGGGCCGGUUGUUCAAAGGUAGGUUAGCGCUAAGCUUGGGUUAAAAUUUAACCUGCUGUUUUAGUUUGU